GACGAACGCUGGCGGCGUGCUUAACACAUGCAAGUCGAACGGAUCUUCUCUUUGUAGCAAUACUUGGGGUUGGUUAGUGGCGAACGGGUGAGUAACACGUGAGAAACCUGCCCUGAAGACGGGGAUAACUGACCGAAAGGUCUGCUAAUACCCGAUGUCCUCAUGUUAUCGCAUGGUUGUGUGAGGAAAUGGAUUCCGCUUUAGGAGGGUCUCGCGGGCUAUCAGCUUGGUGGUGAGGUAAUGGCUCACCAAGGCGACGACGGCUAGCUGGUCUGAGAGCACGACCAGCCACACUGGGACUGGUACACGGCCCAGACUCCUACGGGAGGCAGCAGUGGGGAAUCUUGCGCAAUGGGCGGAAGCCUGACGCAGCAACGCCGCGUGUGGGAUGACGGCUUUCGGGUUGUAAACCACUUUCAGCAGGAACGAAAUUGACGGUACCUGCAGAAGAAGCACCGGCCAACUUCGUGCCAGCAGCCGCCGUAA
rnacentral:rRNA from 1 species